rnacentral:rRNA from 1 species
UACAGAGGUCCCAAGCGUUGUUCGGAUUCACUGGGCGUAAAGGGUGCGUAGGCGGUCGGGUAAGUCUGAUGUGAAAUCUCACAGCUUAACUGUGAAACUGCAUUGGAUACUAUCCGGCUCGAGGAAUGGAGGGGAGACUGGAAUACUUGGUGGUAGCAGUGAAAUGCGUAGAUAUCAAGUGGAACACCAGUGGCGAAGGCGAGUCUCUGGACAUUUCCUGACGCUGAGGCACGAAAGCCAGGGGAGCAAACGGGG